AAGGCCAUUAUACUCUUAGGGAUCAUUUCUAUAGUUUUUUUCUUGAGAGGUGUGUUUCUAGAGUGUUUGGUCUCACAAAUCAUGAGGAGGAUUUAUAGUGUUCUCUUCUGAGCAGGAAGCAGACAUUGGGUGUUGCUUUUAGCAGCUGCUCUUUGUCAUUGAUGAGUGUUCCUUCUCUCUCUUGUAGAGAGUUGGAGGAAGAGAACACAGUCUGAGUGGU